rnacentral:pre_miRNA from 1 species
ACGCACUUAUCUACAAGUCCAUAUUGAUUUAAACAAAAGAGAGAUCCAGAUCUCUCAAUUAUGGAAUGUAGUGAAGUGCGUUG